GUUUCAAUCCCUCAUAGGUUCGAUUCAAAC
rnacentral:other from 1 species